rnacentral:rRNA from 1 species
UCGAGAAUCUUCGGCAAUGGGCGAAAGCCUGACCGAGCGACGCCGCGUGCGGGAUGAAGGCCUUCGGGUUGUAAACCGCUGUCGUAGAGGAGGAAAUGCAGGUGGGUACUCCCAUCUGUUUGACUGAUUCUAGGAGGAAGGACCGGCUAAUCUCGUGCCAGCAGCCGCGGUAAUACGAGAGGUCCAAACGUUAUUCGGAAUUACUGGGCUUACAGAGUUCGUAGGCGGCUCAGAAAGUGGGGUGUGAAAUCCCUCGGCUCAACCGAGGAAUUGCGCUCCAAACUACUGAGCUAGAGGGAGAUAGAGGUGAGCGGAACUGAUGGUGGAGCGGUGAAAUGCGUUGAUAUCAUCAGGAACACCGGAGGCGAAGGCGGCUCACUGGGGCUCUUCUGACGCUGAGGAACGAAAGCUAGGGGAGCAAACGG